ACUCUCUCUCUCUCUCUCUCUCUCUCUCUCUCUCUCAAAAGAGUUCAUGGUUAUUGACCCAAUGUUGAGAAUAUUGCUGCUUCAAAUGAAAACACUUUUUUGCUAAUUCUUUUCUUUUUCUGUGUAGUGAUGCAUUGCUGUUUGUCAUACAUUGACUGUAGCUUAUAGUGAUGUAUUUCGUUGCUUUAUAGAGGUGCAUUACUUCCAUUUUUCUAAAGGUAUAACACAAAAGCAGUAGCAGAAGGCGGGAGUGUCGCCGUCCAGUCGUCGCCCCGCCGUUGCCGCCGUCCAUUUGGUUCAAAUGGUGCUGACAUUUGUUUCUCAUGGUGGGUUGGGUUACUUGUUUGGAUUUCUUCAAAACUAACAGAUAAGAGGAUACAUGGGUUUUCUUUCUUUCUUUCUCUGUUUUCUUUCUUUAUUUUCAUUUUAACUUGUGUUUUUUCUUUUUUUUAGCCUUAUGGUGGGAAUUUGAAGCUUCUUUUAGGUUGGCUUCAGUGAUAGAAAAAGAGAUCAAAAACAGCCCAGAAAUUUUUUUUAAGGGCAACGAGCUAGCUAGUGGGAGAGGGCUUGCACACCAUGCCUUUGAUUGGUACUAUUUUCUUCAGUCACAAAAGGGAAAAAGAGAAAAGGCUACCCACUAUUUUAUAUCAUUGCUUGGCUUCGUACAAAAAUUUAGUAAUGUAUGUUCAAGUUUGUACGGACUUUUUAUAAGUUGUGGAUCAAAAUGACUUUGUUGAGUAUUUCAGUCACUUUUACCAAGAGCUUAUAUGGUGGUGGUGUUGAUUUUCUCAAACUCAUAUGAGUGUCAAUGGUGCCUUUGAAUGUU